CCUACGGGUGGCAGCAGUGGGGAAUAUUGCACAAUGGGGGAAACCCUGAUGCAGCGACGCCGCGUGAAGGAAGACGUAUUUCGGUAUGUAAACUUCUAUCAGCAGGGAAGAAAAUGACGGUACCUGACUAAGAAGCCCCGGCUAACUACGUGCCAGCAGCCGCGGUAAUACGUAGGGGGCAAGCGUUAUCCGGAUUUACUGGGGGUAAAGGGAGCGUAGACGGUGCAGCAAGUCUGAUGUGAAAGGUCGGGGCCCAACCCCGGGACUGCAUUGGAAACUGUUGACAUGGAGUACAGGAGAGGUAAGCGGAAUUCCUAGUGUAGCGGUGAAAUGCGUAGAUAUUAGGAGGAACACCAGUGGCGAAGGCGGCUUACUGGACUGUAACUGACGUUGAGGCUCGAAAGCGUGGGGAGCAAACAGGAUUAGAUACCCUUGUAGUC
rnacentral:rRNA from 1 species